UCUACGUGCGGCAGCAGUGGGGAAUAUUGGACAAUGGGCGAAAGCCUGAUCCAGCCAUGCCGCGUGUGUGAAGAAGGCCUUCGGGUUGUAAAGCACUUUCAGUGGGGAAGAAAGCCUUGGGGCUAAUACCCUCGAGGAAGGACAUCACCCACAGAAGAAGCACCGGCUAACUCCGUGCCAGCAGCCGCGGUAAUACGGAGGGUGCGAGCGUUAAUCGGAAUUACUGGGCGUAAAGCGCGCGUAGGCGGUCUGAUAAGCCGGUUGUGAAAGCCCCGGGCUCAACCUGGGAACGGCAUCCGGAACUGUCAGGCUAGAGUGCAGGAGAGGAAGGUAGAAUUCCCGGUGUAGCGGUGAAAUGCGUAGAGAUCGGGAGGAAUACCAGUGGCGAAGGCGGCCUUCUGGACUGACACUGACGCUGAGGUGCGAAAGCGUGGGUAGCAAACAGGAUUAGAUACCCUGGUAGUC
rnacentral:rRNA from 1 species